GACGAACGCUGGCGGCGUGCUUAACACAUGCAAGUCGAACGGAAAGGCCCUGCUUUUGUGGGGUGCUCGAGUGGCGAACGGGUGAGUAACACGUGAGUAACCUGCCCUUGACUUUGGGAUAACUUCAGGAAACUGGGGCUAAUACCGGAUAGGAGCUCCUGCUGCAUGGUGAGGGUUGGAAAGUUUCGGCGGUUGGGGAUGGACUCGCGGCUUAUCAGCUUGUUGGUGGGGUAGUGGCUUACCAAGGCUUUGGCGGGUAGCCGGCCUGAGAGGGUGACCGGCCACAUUGGGACUGAGAUACGGCCCAGACUCCUACGGGAGGCAGCAGUGGGGAAUAUUGCACAAUGGGCGGAAGCCUGAUGCAGCAACGCCGCGUGCGGGAUGACGGCCUUCGGGUUGUAAACCGCUUUCGCCUGUGACGAAGCGUGAGUGACGGUAAUGGGUAAAGAAGCACCGGCUAACUACGUG
rnacentral:rRNA from 1 species